rnacentral:lncRNA from 1 species
UCAUAUAGUUUUACCCCUAUUUUUCUAUUUUGAUUAUUUUAUGCAGGGUAAUGUAUGAAUACAAGACAUGUUCCAAGAAAUUUUGUUGACAAUCCUGAAGCAUUAUUCAGAAAAACAAGAGCCAAGCUCAAGAAGAGAUCGUCAACACUUCAGCACGAAGCUUCAUCCAAUCAAGAAGAUCACCGAAGUUUCAUCCGAAACUUGUCUUCAGAAUUCGAAGUUAUGGCGAACAAAUUGAUCUGCGAGUUCUCAGCUCCCACUACGGACAACAUCCGCACUGGACUUGCUGUAGAGAUCAACAGCAACUUUGAACUGAAGCCUGGGCUCAUCAACAUGGUGCAAUCCAACCAGU